rnacentral:rRNA from 1 species
GGACUACUGGGGUAUCUAAUCCUGUUCGCUCCCCACGCUUUCGCUCCUCAGCGUCAGAACUGGCCCAGCAAGCCGCCUUCGCCACCGGUGUUCCUCCUGAUAUCUGCGCAUUUCACCGCUACACCAGGAAUUCCGCUUGCCCCUACCAGCCUCUAGCCUGCCCGUAUCCACCGCAGACCCGCAGUUAAGCCACGGGCUUUCACGGCAGACGCAACAAGCCACCUACGAGCUCUUUACGCCCAAUAAUUCCGGACAACGCUUGCGCCCUACGUAUUACCGCGGCGGCUGGCAC